rnacentral:rRNA from 1 species
AGCACGGGAGCAAUCCUGGUGGCGAGUGGCGAACGGGUGAGUAAUAUAUCGGAACGUGCCCAGUCGUGGGGGAUAACGCAGCGAAAGCUGUGCUAAUACCGCAUACGAUCUCUGGAUGAAAGCGGGGGACUCGCAAGGGCCUCGCGCGAUUGGAGCGGCCGAUAUCAGAUUAGCUAGUUGGUGGGGUAAAAGCCCACCAAGGCGACGAUCUGUAGCUGGUCUGAGAGGACGACCAGCCACACUGGAACUGAGACACGGUCCAGACUCCUACGGGAGGCAGCAGUGGGGAAUUUUGGACAAUGGGCGCAAGCCUGAUCCGGCAAUGCCGCGUGCAGGAUGAAGGCCUUCGGGUUGUAAACUGCUUUUGUACGGAACGAAACGGUCCUUUCUAAUAAAAGGGGCUAAUGACGGUACCGUAAGAAUAAGCACCGGCUAACUACGUGCCAGCAGCCGCGGUAAUACGUAGGGUGCGAGCGUUAAUCGGAAUUACUGGGCGUAAAGCGUGCGCAGGCGGUUAUAUAAGACAGAUGUGAAAUCCCCGGGCUCAACCUGGGCACUGCAUUUGUGACUGUAUAGCUAGAGUACGGUAGAGGGGGAUGGAAUUCCGCGUGUAGCAGUGAAAUGCGUAGAUAUGCGGAGGAACACCGAUGGCGAAGGCAAUCCCCUGGACCUGUACUGACGCUCAUGCACGAAAGCGUGGGGAGCAAACAGGAUUAGAUACCCUGGUAGUCCACGCCCUAAACGAUGUCAACUGGUUGUUGGGUCUUCACUGACUCAGUAACGAAGCUAACGCGUGAAGUUGACCGCCUGGGGAGUACGGCCGCAAGGUUGAAAC